rnacentral:rRNA from 1 species
AACGAACGCUGGCGGCAUGCCUAACACAUGCAAGUCGAACGAGACCUUCGGGUCUAGUGGCGCACGGGUGCGUAACGCGUGGGAACCUGCCCUUAGGUUCGGAAUAACUCCCCGAAAGGGGUGCUAAUACCGGAUAAUCUCUUCGGACCAAAGAUCUAUCGCCUUUGGAUGGGCCCGCGUUGGAUUAGCUAGUUGGUAGGGUAAAAGCCUACCAAGGCGACGAUCCAUAGCUGGUCUGAGAGGAUGAUCAGCAACACUGGGACUGAGACACGGCCCAGACGCGUACGGGAGGCAGCAGUGGGGAAUAUUGGACAAUGGGCGAAAGGCUGAUCCAGCAAUGCCGCGUGAGUGAUGAAGGCCUUAGGGUUGUAAAGCUCUUUUACCCGGGAUGAUAAUGACAGUACCGGGAGAAUAAGCUCCGGCUAACUCCGUG